CUUGUCAACUUUUUGCUACUCUUGAUAUAAACCCUGAACCCCUGUGAAAAUCUGGCAGCUGCGUGAGCUGCAGACUCAGCAAGAUGGCUCUGGAGGGGCUUACGCAGAUCUUGCCCUUUUCUGGACCAAGAGAAAAUAGCACCAGAGACUGAGAGAGGAGCAGCUGGGACAACCAGACUGUGCUUUGUGCAAGUUCACGUUCAAGACGUGGCUGCAGGCAUCCGGCUAACAGUGGAGGAAGUGGCUUAUCUCUGUGGCUCUGACACCCGCUAGGACGUGAGCAGGUGGUCAGCAGUGGCAUGGGAUGAGGUGCCAGUGGCGUGGCUUGAUCUCCCACGGUAACCUCUGGGGACAGGGAGAAACGUGCUGAAGCUGCAGUGAGGCUCAAGAAAGAGGAGAAGUGGGUGGAAGACCUGUGAAGGAGGAAGCAAGGGAUUCAGUUGGAGGGUAGAAAGAAAAGGA